AGUGAACGCUGGCGGCAGGCCUAACACAUGCAAGUCGAGCGGCAGCGCGGGGGCAACCCUGGCGGCGAGCGGCGGACGGGUGAGGAAUUCGUCGGAAUCUGCCUUUUUGUGGGGGAUAACGUAGGGAAACUUACGCUAAUACCGCAUACGUCCUACGGGAGAAAGUGGGGGACCGCAAGGCCUCACGCAGAAAGAUGAGCCGACGACCGAUUAGCUAGUUGGUGGGGUAAAGGCCCACCAAGGCGACGAUCGGUAGCUGGUGUGAGAGGAUGAUCAGCCACACUGGGACUGAGACACGGCCCAGACUCCUACGGGAGGCAGCAGUGGGGAAUAUUGGACAAUGGGCGCAAGCCUGAUCCAGCCAUGCCGCGUGUGUGAAGAAGGCCUUCGGGUUGUAAAGCACUUUUGUCCGGAAAGAAAUCCCUGGAGCUAAUACCUUCGGGGGAUGACGGUACCGGAAGAAUAAGCACCGGCUAACUUCGUG
rnacentral:rRNA from 1 species